CCCAUCAAGGGAUGAAUGGAUAAAGGAGAUGUGAUAUAUACAUGCAAUGGAAUACUACUCAGCCAUAAAAUGGAUGAAAUCUCACCAUUUGUGACAGCAUGGGUGGACCUUGAGGAUAUUAUGCUAAGUGAAAUAAGUUAGAGGGGUAAAGUAAAAUACCAUGUGUUCUCACUGAUAAAUAGAUGAUAAAACAGCAACAUACAAACACAUAGAGACAGAGAUUUGAUUGGUGGUUAUCAGAGGGGAAGUGAGGAGGGAGGAGGGAGAAAGGGGUGAUUAGGCACGUGUGUGUGGGGAUUGAUUGUAAUUAGUCUUUGGACGGUGAACAUGAUGUAGUCUACACAGAAAUCGAAAUAUAAUGAUGUACACUGAAAUUUAUAUAAUGUUAUAAACCAAUGUUGCCGCAAAAAAAAAAAAAAAAAAAAAAAAAAAAGAAUGGUGGUGAAAAUGCUAUGAAGACAGUAUGAUAAUUUUUAAACCCCAAAGCAUAAAGGUGAUGAUAAUUACUGAACUUUCAUUGUGUAUUUCUUUAACCUCUGAGCAAGAUCUCUGCAGAUUACUGUUCCUGUAUUAAUACAGAAACACAAAGGGUAACAUGUUACUCUCUUGAAUACUCUGGAAAAACAUUCUGAAGGAGUUCUUAAAUAGUCACGAGCUUGGAAAAUACAGGAAUAUGUGUUUCUCUCCAGAUGAAUAGGUAAAAAUAUAACUGGUAAAAAAAAUGGAUGGCUAGAACUUUAUUGUAAUUAUGCAUAUUUAUAUUCAUGUAGCACAACUUUGUAUUCUUUCAUCUCAAAAUUGAGAUUUCUAAUGGUAAGAGAGGAGUAUAAAGAGCUACUGUAUGAAAUUUAGUUUGAAUUGCAUGGCUUUUUUCCAUUUUCUUCCAGAGAGAACUUUUAAUGUUUCAUAUUUUGAAGAUGCCAUAAAGAAGAAAGCAAGACAGAAUUUGAAGAAUUGGGGUGACACUAAAGAGGGACUCAAGCCAACUCGAAGAGGCUCUCACUGGCCGAACGUGAGACCAUCUGAGCAUCGACAAAGAUAAUACCUGCAAAGGACUGAAACAUAUGAAAAAUGUCUUAUCUAUGAUGACAGCAAAACAAACAAAUUCUGCCUGGUCACUGUUGGAGGAUGCUAGUAAACCAACCCAUUGUUCUGAAAGCUGGU
rnacentral:lncRNA from 1 species